rnacentral:rRNA from 1 species
GACGAACGCUGGCGGCGUGCUUAACACAUGCAAGUCGAACGGUAAUGCUCCAGCUUGCUGGAGUGGAUCAGUGGCGAACGGGUGAGUAACACGUGAGCAACCUGCCCCAGACUCUGGAAUAAGCGCUGGAAACGGCGUCUAAUACUGGAUACGAAACUGGCCCGCAUGGGCAUGGUUUGGAAAGUUCGUCGGUUUGGGAUGGGCUCGCGGCCUAUCAGCUUGUUGGUGAGGUAAUGGCUCACCAAGGCGACGACGGGUAGCCGGCCUGAGAGGGCGACCGGCCACACUGGGACUGAGACACGGCCCAGACUCCUACGGGAGGCGGCAGUGGGGAAUAUUGCACAAUGGGCGGAAGCCUGAUGCAGCGACGCCGCGUGCGGGAUGACGGCCUUCGGGUUGUAAACCUCUUUCAGCAGGGAAGAAGCGAGAGUGACGGUACCCGCAGAAGAAGCACCGGCUAACUACGUG